AGCCCUUAAUGAGAUUGAAUUCAUGUGACGUUUACCGCCACACGCGCUAGAGAUAGACAAUCAGCUGUGUUUCAUUUUGUUCUCCUCUUUGUGGGAGUUGCUCGUGCUAAGUGUGUUUUCAUUUGUUUACGAUGAAGGUCUCGGAACAGAGUUGUCUCAGAGAGCGCGUCUCUCGGAUGCUUGGACAGCAUCCGAAAUCUGAGGUGACUAGACGAAAGAAUGUUCGCCAAAAAUGCCACGUUUAGUGUCAAUCAUCGACCAGGGAGACGACUCCACCACCUGUUUCCUACCUAUCAGAUUCAACAACUCAUGAGCCAGGACAACAGCUUUACUUCCUUUCCGAAGGAAGAGGUAAACAGAGAUUUUUCAUCUCAGGUCGCACGGGUUGGGAAGCAACGACUGACGCCGUCAUAAAAUGAUGAAGAUAUUUUGUUCUGUCCGGACCUAGCUUCGUGCCUUUACGCAUAGGCCUUUCCGGAUUGGUUUGUACGUAAAGAAGAUAAUCUCCCAAACGUACCUCAGAUGUGGCCAAUCGAGUCGUAUUGGGCCAUACUGUCCCAGUAAGUGUACGAAAAUCGUAAGACAAAAGAGGACCUCAUGGUGGUCCAGACCAUGAUCGCGAGUGUUUAGGGAAUUUCGAGGAAGAUUGAAGACGAAGGGCCACUAUCUGUCUAAUUAUUUGAAUAAAACGCACAUUGUACGGACAUGCGAAAAUGCAAUAAUGAAUUGAAUUUAAAUAAACUUUUCACCGAA